GGGGUUGGGGUUAUGGUUGAGAGUUAGGGGUAGGGGGGUUAGGGGUUGGGCUUAGGCUUAGUCUGUUCUCUAUCGUAUGUUAUAGGGUAACUAGUAGGUAGGCUGACGGUUAGGGGUUAGGCUUAGUCUGUUCUCUAUCGUAUGUUAUAGGGUAACUAGUAGGUAGGCUGACGGUUAGGGGUUAGGCUUAGUCUGUUCUCUAUCGUAUGUUAUAGGGUAACUAGUAGGUAGGCUGACGGUUAGGGGUUAGGCUUAGUCUGUUCUCUAUCGUAUGUUAUAGGGUAACUAGUAGGUAGGCAAAACAUGUAUUGUACCUCUAGUUAACUGUUUUGUUAUUAUAGCAUAUUUUCAUGUUUUCGUCACGUCCCUAAAAAAUCCACUGACUCGUGAAUAAGGCCAUAAAAAGAUGAUUUCUUUUUUGAACGAUUAAUUUGAUUAAUUUCAACAAUUAUUUUUGACCCAAUGAAUGAUUUACUUUACCAUUGUAUUAGUUUGUAUUUGGUUCAAUCACGGUGAAUCGAAUCAUGUGAAUCAAAAUAAAAAAAGUUAUAUCCUUCC